GCCUUUUUUAAGGAUUUUCCCGUGGGGGGGGGCAUUUUUUGAAAAGGGACCUUUCUGUGAGAUAAUAUAUUAGAGGGGGAUAGCAAUGGCUGAAAGCCACGUGUGUGGCAAAUAUACCAUGCAUGAAUGGGGGGUCUGGGGGUGUACUCCCCCAGAAAAUUUUUGAAAUUUGACUCCCGGAAAUGUCAUUUCCUGCAUUCUGAGCAUCCAAAUUUGCUCCAAAAUUUAUCCUAACUAUACUUGUAUUUGAAAUAAAUAAAGGAAGAAACACACAAAAAGUUAAAAAAAAAUUAACCAUCAUUUAUCAUUACUUAUUAGAGGAGGAUAGCAAUGGUCAGGUGUGUGGGGGGGUGUACUCCCCCAGAAAAUUUUUGAAAUUUGA